rnacentral:rRNA from 1 species
CAAUAGCGUAUAUCAAAAUUGUUGCGGUUAAAAAGCUCGUAGUUGGAUUUUUGCUGAGGACGACCGGUCCGCCCUCUGGGUGAGUAUCUGGCUUGGCCUUGGCAUCUUCUUGGAGAACGUAGCUGCACUUGACUGUGUGGUGCGGUACUCAGGACUUUUACUUUUGAGGAACUUAGAAUGUUUCAAGCAGGCACACGCCUUGAAUACAUGAGCAUGGAAUAAUAAGAUAGGGCCUUGGUUUUAUUUUGUUGGUUUCUAAAGCUGAGGUAAUGAUUAAUAGGGAUAGUUGGGGGCAUUCGUAUUUAAUUGUCAAAGGUGAAAUUCUUGGAUUUGUUAAAGACGGACUACUGCGAAAGCAUUUGCCAAGGAUGUUUUCAUUUAUCAAGAACGAAAGUUAGGGGAUCGAAGAUGAUUAGAUACCA